rnacentral:rRNA from 1 species
UACGUAGGGUGCAAGCGUUGUCCGGAAUUAUUGGGCGUAAAGAGCUUGUAGGCGGUUUGUCGCGUCUGCUGUGAAAUUUCGGGGCUCAACCCCGAACUUGCAGUGGGUACGGGCAGACUAGAGUGUGGUAGGGGAGACUGGAAUUCCUGGUGUAGCGGUGAAAUGCGCAGAUAUCGGGAGGAACACCAAUGGCGAAGGCAGCUCGCUGGGACGGUACUGACGCUGAGGCGCGAAAGCGUGGGGAGCAAACAGG